GAAUUUAAUAAUAUUAAAUAAAAAAAAAUAUUAAAUAUUAUUUAGUUGGGAGGAUUAAUAAAUUAAUAAAACUUUAUUAAAAAAAUAAAAUCAUUAAUUUAUGAAAUUAAUGAAAAUAAUAUAAGUAUAUAAAUUAAAAUUAAUUACCUUAGGGAUAACAGCAUAAAAUUAUUUUUUAGAUCAUAUAAAAAAUAAUAAUUGU
rnacentral:rRNA from 1 species